rnacentral:rRNA from 1 species
GUUAAAAUUUUAUUAUUUUAAAUAAAAUUAUAUUUAAAAAUUUUAAUAUAAAGUUAAAGUUAAUAUAUUUAAAUAAUUAAUUAAAUUAUAAAGAAAGUAAUGUGAGUGAAAUUUAAUUAUAAGUUAAGAUUAAGUAAAUUUUAUUUAUUGUACCUUUUGUAUCAGGGUUUUUUAAAAAUGUAAUUUAAUUAAAAUUAAAUUUUUCAAUUAGAAAAGAGUUAAGUUAAUAUGAAAUUUAUUAUUUAAUAAAUAUUUUUAAUAUUAAAUUAGAAGAGAUAUUUUAUUCAAUUUUUUAAAUAUUUAAUUUUUUUUGAUAUAAAUUUAAUUUAGUAUAAGUAAGAUUUAUUUUUAUUAUAAUUUUAAAAAUAAUUAAUUUAUAAAAAAAAUAUAUGGGAUAAACUAAAUAUUUUAUUAAAAAAGAAGGAUACGUUAGUAAAAAUAAUAUUUUUAGUAUUUAAUUUUUUUUGAAAAAAUUUAAUAAUUUAUUUAAUGAGUAUAAUAAAAUUUUAUUUUUUUUUGUUAUUUUAAAAAAAUAUAUUAAUAAAUUUUAAAGUUAAUAAAAAUAAUGAAAAAAUUAGUAUUUAUAAUAAUAAAUUUAUAUUUAAAAAUUUUUAUUCAAUAAUUAUUUUAAGAAUUAGGCAAGUUAUAAAAUUUUUAUAAAAAAUUAAUUAAAUUCACCUGUUUAGUAAAAACAUCGUUUUAAGAAAUAAAAUUUAAAAUUUAUUCUGCUCAAUGAUUAUAUAAUUAAAUAGCUGCAGUAAUAUUGACUGUACAAAGGUAGCAUAAUCAAUUGUUUUUUAAUUGAAAACUAGAAUGAAGGGAUGUAUGAAAUUUGAACUAUUUUAAAUAUUUUAUUAGAAUUUAUAUUUUAAGUUAAAAUUCUUAAAUUGAAUUAUGGGACGAGAAGACCCUAAAGAAUUUAAUAUAAAUUUUUAAUUUGCAAUUAAAAGUUUAUAUUUAAAAAUUUAUAUUUUGUUGGGGGGAUAAUAAAAUUUAUUAAACUUUUUAUUUAUAGGAAGAUUUUGUGGAUUGGAUAAAAAUAUUUUAUUAACAUAGAUUAAUGGGAUUGAAGAAUAAUAAAUAGUUUUAUUUUGUUAGUAUUAAUUACCUUAGGGAUAACAGCGUAAUAAUUUUUGAAAGAUCUUAUUGAAAAUAAUGAUUGCGACCUCGAUGUUGAAUUAAAAUAAAAAUUAAAUGGAAAUAUUUAGUUGUUUAGUCUGUUCGACUAUUAAAAUUUUACAUGAUUUGAGUUUAGAUCGGUGUGAGCCAGAUUGGAUUUUAUCUAUAAUUGAUUGAAAUAAUUUUGUACGAAAGGACUUUUUAUUUGAAAUAAUUUUAAUAAAAAUAGUGAGAAAAAUUAAUUAUAUUAU